rnacentral:rRNA from 1 species
GUCGAGCGAAGCACUCGGCCUUGAAUCUUCGGAGGAAAGGCGGUUUGACUGAGCGUCGGACGGGUGAGUAACGCGUGGGCAACCUGCCCCAUACGGGGGGAUAACAGUCAGAAAUGACUGCUAAUACCGCAUAAGACCGCGGUGCCGCAUGGCACAGCGGUAAAAACUCCGGUGGUAUGGGAUGGGCCCGCGUCUGAUUAGCUAGUUGGCGGGGUAACGGCCCACCAAGGCGACGAUCAGUAGCCGACCUGAGAGGGCGACCGGCCACAUUGGGACUGAGACACGGCCCAAACUCCUACGGGAGGCAGCAGUGGGGAAUAUUGCACAAUGGGGGAAACCCUGAUGCAGCGACGCCGCGUGAGCGAUGAAGUAUUUCGGUAUGUAAAGCUCUAUCAGCAGGGAAGAAGAUGACGGUACCUGACUAAGAAGCCCCGGCUAACUACGUGCCAGCAGCCGCGGUAAUACGUAGGGGGCAAGCGUUAUCCGGAUUUACUGGGUGUAAAGGGAGCGUAGACGGCGAUGCAAGCCAGAUGUGAAAGCCCGGGGCUCAACCCCGGGACUGCAUUUGGAACUGUGUGGCUGGAGUGUCGGAGAGGCAGGCGGAAUUCCUAGUGUAGCGGUGAAAUGCGUAGAUAUUAGGAGGAACACCAGUGGCGAAGGCGGCCUGCUGGACGAUGACUGACGUUGAGGCUCGAAAGCGUGGGGAGCAAACAGGAUUAGAUACCCUGGUAGUCCACGCCGUAUACGAUGACUGCUAGGUGUCGGGCGGCAAAG